GCGCCCUCUCCUCCCCGCGCUCCGGCCCCGUCUCUCCUCCGACCUUUCUCGUUCGUGACGGGCCGCGCCUCCUCGCGUUUGAGCGACUGUUUCCUUCCCCUUCCAAUUUCUCUUUUCCUCGUGACGAUUCGUCGCGUCUGAUUUUAUUUCAUUCACCCGCCGUCGCCGUUGCCUUGAUGUGCUCGCAGGGGAUUCGAAUUCGACGACUUGUCUCUCCUCCGCUUCCGUGCGAGUUCGGGAAGCGAUCGAUCGGGGGAUUCAUCCGUUUGGUUUGCGAGUCUAUCUCAGAAUCUGUUUCGCGUGUCCGCUUCUGUUUGCAACUGUGGAUCAUGUGUUUCUCGUCGUGUUCGCAUCCGCGCGUGCAGGUUGAAGGAUCGUGCGUGGUUUUUGGAAUUGGGGCUUAAUUAUGGAGCCGGAGGCCGAGGCAAGGUCAGUUUCCCGUGCUCGUUCAGAUCGCUUCCUUGGUUCCGUCACCUGCGUUCGUCCGUGAUUCCAGAUUUGAAAUGAAUAUGGCCCGUGUGAUCUUCUGGUUCCCCGAGGGCUGUGGUUUAUUCCGUGUCAUCCGUUAGUGCGGGGUGUGUUAAUUCGAGGCCCUCGUGGAGGAUUCUUGUUGUACCGGCUGAUCUCGGUUUUGGUAUGUCUUUGUCCUCUCACCCUAUGUAGAUGCAGAGGAAGCCAGAGGGUGCGCUAGUUCUACAGAGGUGGAGGUUUGAUCUCUUCUCAUGAUUAUUUUGAUUCAUUGGUUGAGGUUCAGCGGCUGUCCUGAUAUGGUCAGAUCUUCUCGGGUGAUGAAGCUUAGGAUCUCUUACCAACCUGAACCUGCGAUCCGCGUGUGGAUAAUAUUAAUAAAUCCCUCCCAAUUUUAGUUUCUUGGUCUGCACACUAGUCAACGGCAAUUCUGAUCUGAAUUCGUUGGUUCUCCAGGAAUUAUAAUUUGGAUUACACAGCAUAGCAGGAGCCGGGAGCAACAUCUGCGUUUGGAUGAUUAAUUGCCCCCUCUAUUUAAUUCCUCCAUCUACACAGUUCAAUCUUAGUCGGUUUUGAUUUAGAUUUGUUGAUGGUUGUCCAGAAAUUGGGAUUAUACGGCUUAGCGGGAGCGACUUGUCAUCUUCCUCACCUGUGUUUGGACGAUCAUUCCCUUUCUGUUCAUUUUCUUUUCUCCACAGUUCAGUUAGUCUUCACACAACACACAAUUCUGAUUUGGAUUUUGUAUUUGUUGCUGGUACUCCAGAUAUUGGAAUUAUACGGCUUAGCGGGUGGCCCCUAUUUUCCCUCGUCACGCCGGUUCUUCUGUGGCUCGACAUUUUCUUACUCGUCAAUAAUAUAAUUGGAACAUACCAGACAAGUUUCUCUGCCUUAGUUUGUCAUUCUCAGCUCUUGCAGACACCAUCUUGGAAGGGAUAUAAUUUGAAUCGGUGUUGUGCUGUCUACCUGACCUUCCCAGCCCAACUUCGUCAUAUAGCAUUUACCUCUUCCUCGUUUGAAGCAUGCUUUAGUUGAGCCUAGUUUCCCCCUAAUUUACAGAGACGUAUCUUGCUCGUUGCAGGUUUGACGAAUGCAAGUCCAACCUGAUGCUGAGUUCUGUUUGCAGUUCUUUCUAAAUCUAAUCAAUUCAUUAUUACUUAGAUAACCUUUAAGAUCUUCUCACUAGGCAAUAUUUUGAAUUCAGAUUUAUCUCAAAGGUUCACGAAUGGAGCUUCAAACUUGGCGAAACCUACAAACAAAAAAGAGACUCGUCCAUUUUUAACUCUUGCCUCUUUUUCUUUAUAUCACGUAGCUACUUUGUUCAUGCCUUUGAUUUAGGCUUUUUUGCUUCUGCCCCUGUGAUUGCAGAUAUAUUUUAGCCCAGAGAGUGUUGGCAGUGAGUCGAAAUCUGUUAAAAUCGUUUGGUUUGCAAUCUAUCUCUAUGCGUUUCAAUUUGUUAUCUGUACACUUAUCCUGUCGACUGCAGGCCAUAUUUAGGAAGUUUGUGCUUAUGGGCAAAUCUCUUUACAGUGAGUCAGGUCAGUGUUCUAUCAACGGUUUGUUUGGUUUAGUUGUGUUCCUCCACACAUUGGUUGCAGGAUUGGAUCUGGAAUGUGGAGAUCCCUAUGAUGUUGUAUGUCGGAAGGGGAUUUGAGCAGGUCAGAUUUAAAUGGCUAUCGCCGGUGUGGUCUUCUGGUUCUCAUCACGCAUCAUCAGCUAAUAUGAGGUGGAUUGGAGGUCCUGGUAGAUUCUUAUUGUAGCAGCUGAUCGCACUCUUGGUGUGUGUUUGUGCUCCUUUGCUUGCAGCAGAUGCAGGAGUGUAGUAGUUCUGCACAGAUGAAUCAUAGGGUGGAGGUUUGGUUUCUGUUUGUCGUUUUGAUUGAUUGGAUAAUGAAGCUUAGGAUUCUUGCCAACCUGAAACUUGUGAUCUGCAUUUGGAUAAUGAAUUUCAUCUCGAUUCAAUUUAUUUGGUCUGUGCAGUACAAUUUAGUCCUUGGCAGUUCUGAAUCCAUUUGUGGUUUUCCAGAAAUUGAGCUUAACAAGGUUUAGCAGGAGCAACCUAUCUUCUUGUUGAUCAGUGUUUGGAUGAUUAUGAACCCCCUAUAUUUAAGUCUCUGCACAAUUCAACUUUAGUCCCCCACAGUUUGAUUUGGAUCUGUUGCUGGUUGUCCAAAAAUUGGGAUUAUAUGGCUUAGCGGGAGUGACCUAUCUUCUUGCUGACCUGCGUUUGGAUGAUCAUUACUCUCUGCUUAAUUUCUUCUCAGCUCAAUUAGUUGUCCAACAAUUCUGAUUUAGAUUUGUUGCUGGUUCUCCAGAAAUUGGAAUUAUACGGCUUAGCGGGUGAUCCUAUGUUUCCUCAGCAUGGCGGUUCUUUCUGUGGCCCAACAUAUCUGACCUUUUGUCCUCCCUUGAUAAUUGAACUUUCUAGACAUUUGUUUCUUAGCCUUCCUUGGUAAUUCUUGGCUCUUGCAGAUGCUGGCUUGGAACCGAAAUAAUUGGAACCAGUGUUGUCUAUCUGACCUUCGUGGCCGAGACAGGCUUACAUACCCUUUACCUCUUACUUAACCUUCACCUCAGCAUUUGAUGCAUGCUUUAGCUGAGCCUAGUUUUCCUCCUAUCUUAUAGAAAGGUAUCUUCCUUGUUGCAGGUCGUAGUUGAUGAACUCAAGUCGAACCUGGUGCUGAGUUGAAUCUGUUUGCAGUUCUUCUAAAUCUACUAUUUCCUCAAGUCAUCAUAACUUAGAUAACCUUUAAAAUCAUCUUACCAGGAAAUAUUUUGAAUACAGAUCUGCAAAGGUUCAACAAAGGAGAAUCAAACUAAUGGAACAUCCUACAAUGAAAAAGACUAUUUUAACCCACCUCUUACUUUUUUAUUUCACGUAGCUACUUGCUUGUGUCUUUAAUUUAUGUUUUUCUUUCUACCCUCCCUUUGGUGUUUGCAGAUUGAGCCCAAACCAUGCUGGUUGUGAGUCGGAAUCUGUUAAAUCAUUUGGUUUGCGGUCUAUCUCUCUUUCUGGAUGGAUUUGUUGUUUGUACUCUUGAUCCCUGUGCUGGUCUUCUGCGUGUUAUCAGUUGCAGGAUAUAUUUAGGAAGUCUGGGCCGCAGGAUAUAUUUGGAUAUGUUGGUUCUCCAGAAAUUGGAAUUAUAUGGCUUAGCGGAGAGACACAUCUUGCUCUGCUUUGCGUUUGGAUAAUUAUCACUCCCUCUGUUUUGCUCUUUCGUCUCCACUGUUCUGUUUUGGUUUCCCACAAUUCUAAUUUGAACUAUUUGUUGGUGGCUCUCCAGAAAUUGGAAUAAUAUGGCUUAGAAGGCGGUCCUAUUUUGCGUCGUGGCAGUUCCUUCUAUGGCUAAAACUUUUCAACCUUUUUACUCUAUAAUUGAACUCUCUAGACCUUAGGUUUUCUUUGCCUUGGUAAUUCUCAGCUCUUGCAGAUACCGACUUGGAAAGGAAUCUGCAGUUUGGAACUGGCGUUGUUGUCGUCCAUCAUCCAUACCUGACCCUAGACAGGCUUUUACUUGUUCCCGCUCAUUGUUUUAUCCAUGCUUUAGCUAUUUAUAUAUAAGCAGAAUUUCCCCUAACCAAAAAUUUAUAGAAAAGGCCUCUUGCUCGCUGCAGGUUGUAGUUGAAGAACUCCUUUCCAACCCGAUUCAUAUGCAAAACAAAUAUAUGGAUAAUCCAGAGCUUUCAACUAAUGGCACAUCCUACAACCGAAGAAGACUCUUACCUUCCUAUUUUCUUUAUUUCAUUUAUUAGUUACUUGGCCAUCGCUUUGAUAUAGGUUUUUGCCCCUGCCCUUCCUAUGGUUGCAGAUUGUUCUUUAGCCCAGGCCAUGUGGGCAGUGACUAGCUCCCCAUGGUUGUUAUCUGUACUCUUGAUCCCUGUGCUCUCUAGGUCUUCUGUGAGUGUGGGUUGGCAAGAUAUAAUAGUUAGGAGUUUGGGCCCAAACCGCUCUGUACAUGGAGUCAGGUCAGAUUCUUGUAGACAGUCUGUUUGUUUAAUUUGUUAUGGUCUCUACAAUUUAGCUUGCAGGACUGGAUCUCGAUCUGGUCUGGAAAUGAAGCUUCAUAUGGUGUGUGAACGUAUGGUGAAGGGUACUUGAGGCAGGUCAGUUUCCCAUGUUUGGUCACAUUGAUUUGCUGGAUUCCUCAUCUGUGCUUGGUGACGUCAGAUUUGAGUGGCUAUACCUUAGUUCCUUGAUUUAUGUUUGUCUGAUGGCUGUUUGGGAGCUUCGUUCUGGAUGGAGGAAUCUUCCUCGACCACAAAACAAAAACUUAAACCUGGACUCGAUGCCUUGAAGAAACUAUGGUCUGAUUUCAACUGAUUUCCCAGAUUUCCUUGAUUUCAACUGAUUUCAACUCGAUGCCUUGAUUUCAACUGAUUUAUGUUUCAACUGAUUUCCCAGAUUUUAUUAUGGUCUGAUUUUCCUUGAAGAAACUAUAAGUAUGCCUGUCAUUUGGGCCGUUCAUUGAUUUGCAUUAUUGGAGGUUUUAUUGCAAGAUUGUAGAGUUGGGUAGUCAGUCAGCGCUGGGACUUGGUGAAAGCAAACGGGCUUCCCUGAUGGUUUUGACUUCUGAUUAGUGAUCCUGAAGCAUAAUGAUAUGGUCUUUGUGGUAGUUUUCAGUUUGAACUUGCAUUCAGUGGCCUCAUAUCUUUGGUGCAGCUUGGAGUUGGUAGUGUGCACAUCUGAUUCUUUCAACUGUCCUGAAGCAUCUUACUUGGUUUCUGUUCUGCCAUCUUACUGGUUACGGUAUCUUCUUCAACUUGCAUGUGGUUUGGAUGGAAUAUGAUCUCAUCUUCUGCUUGAAUCAAGAAAAUGCUAGAAGUCUCAAACAAGGGUCCGAAAUGGAAAUAUCAGUUCGUACUCAGUUUGUAUAGAAGAUUAUCAAAGUUUGAUUUGACUAUAAAUUAUCUGGUUACCAUACUGUUUCAGGAAGUUUGGUUUUGAUAUUUGGCUGCUUGUAUCUUUCGACUUGCAAAUUUAUCACCCAAUAGGAAGUAAAGAUUGUAUGUACAUGAGCUCUGAAUGCAGUAAAAAUGUUAAUGCAUAUAUAUAUAUGAAUUGGUCAUGCUUGGAUUUGUUCUACAUACUGUUGUCCAUGAUUGCACUUGGUUUGUUUAUGUAUAUAAUUUUAUAUAUACACACGUUGUUUAGGUUCAUCUUAUGACACAAAAUCAACUUUUGGUGUGCUCAUAUUUUUUACUUUGGUGAUAAAGAAAGAUCCCACGCUCGCACUUGUGUUGGUUGGCCUCCUGUAGUUGGGUAUGCAGAAAGAGGUUUAGGAGUUAUUGCUAUAUAUACUAAAACUUUGGAUAGUUGGAAGUUUCUGAGCUUGGAAGCUUGAACAAAUAUUUUGCCCUGAACAUGUUCACUGAAUAUGAUUCUGCUUUGUUGGUAUGGAGUUGAUUUUCAGAAGUGAUGUUAUUCUCAUUGGUACUUCUCCAGUGAGAUCUGGAUUCUUCAAUGCAUCUUCUCGAUUUGGUUAAAUUGACACCUAGCAGAACAGUCUGGCUAAUUUGAUGAUUCCUGAACACACUGGCUAAUUUGAGGAUGAAUCCUUCUGAUUACUUCCAACAUAUGGCAGUUUGUUUUGUACUUCAUCCUGGAUUUAAAGUCACAAAGCGCUCACACAUCUCUACGGUCCUCCAAUGGCUAAUUUGAUCUCUUUACGCAAACUGCUGAUUUGAUCUGGAUUAUGGAAUCUUCCAUUACAUAUUCUUAUCUCUAAUGGAUAAUUUGACCUUCUUUACCGUCAAACUGCUAAUUUGAUAUGGAUUAUGGAGUCUUCAAUUACUUAUUCUUAAAUCUAUAAUUCAUAGCGUUCACACAUCCUCUAAUGGCUAAUUGACCUUCUUUGCCGGUGAACUGCUCUGAAUCUUGAACCACACAUUCUCUUCAAUUACAUAUUCUUAGUUUUCUGCCUACUUCCUAGUUUUAAAUUAGUUGGCAACUAGCAGAAGUACUAAUUUGAUGAUUCCUGCCGAUUGCAUAUUCUUAACUAGAAACUUAGACAAACCCAUUCUGUUUCAUACUACAUAAUAAAUCCUAUAUGUAGAUUUUAAGGACACAGAAGUAUCUGUCUACACAUCUUACGGUCCUCUGACCCUUUAUAAUGGCUAAAUCUUGCAAAGCUUUCUCUGUGCAAAGACUUGAAUCACGCUCAUCCCACUAGAUACAUUAGUCCAUUCAGGUUCUGGAAUUUAUGGCAUUCUUUGUUUGUGCCUCGUGUCUGUGUUAUGAUCUUCCAAAAAUGUUGCGUGAAUACUUUAUUGCCAAUCGUGUGCCAAUGCUGCCUUUGGUUGAUUGCGUGGCUUGUAUGCUUUAGCUGAAUGUAAUUGUUUGUAGUGUUGGCUGUUUUCUGUGUUUAAGUAGGAGUAGUUUAACACUGCCUUUGCCGGUCCCAAGCCCGGAUGAGAAAAUGUGGAGGGGACUGCAGUUAGCUCCUCUGUAUCCUUUGCAUUAGAACUGUCAUGGUCUCCUAAUAUUUUACAUUGAGUAGCAGUGAAUGAAGCGAGUAGAAGUUGCACAGAUUGUCUAGUCGAAUACCGAAUCGUCACACAAUGUGGUGGCAAGCUGUACAAGGUCGGUGUUUUACUUGCGUUCCCUGAAGGGAAGUCGUGAGUGUAUAGGAAGCCUUGCAUGAAAGGCCUCCUGUACCACAAUUGUUGUGGGUAACUGCUUCCCUAGAAAAUGCUGUGGUAUUGCUGUGGUAUUGCGUGACUGGUCCUGGAUGGUAGUGGUAAUCAUUACAGUGAUUCAGGAGUUGGGAAAUACGAGUGCAUUAUUACAAGUUGAGUCAAUGAGGUUAGCAGAGGAAUUUUUGUAAUCUGUAAAAGCAAGUUCAGGGAGUGUUCAGAAAUACGUAUUUUCAGUUGAGUUAAUGAGGUUAGCAGAGGUGUUUUCCUUGUCAAGUUGUGGUUAUCGUUCACACAAUCUCAUUUUGCGCCCAUAAGAAAGUCAGGGAUGCAGAUAUGGUGGUUCAUUUCAGAGUAGAAAUUCAAGUCCGACGAAACUGAAGAAGCUUCAACCACUGCGAUCCCCUCUGGAGACGUCCUUCAUCACCUCGUGUGUAGAGGUAGCUACACACACCGGCAGUCAAGCUUUGCGCACUACUGUAGAUGUUGCUGCAGUUUCGGCAGUAUACAAAUUCCAACAACAGAGUCUGUCUCAUCUCGUAAUUUCAUCGCGCUGUAUCUUAAAUCUUAUCAGCGCAGAUGCUAAUAUAUGUUGUUGAAUCA